rnacentral:rRNA from 1 species
GAUGAACGCUGGCGGCGUGCCUAACACAUGCAAGUCGAACGAAGCACUAAUGAAAGAUUCUUCGGAUGAUGGAUUUAGUGACUGAGUGGCGGACGGGUGAGUAACGCGUGGGUAACCUGCCUCAUACAGGGGGAUAACAGUUAGAAAUGACUGCUAAUACCGCAUAAGCGCACAGUAUCGCAUGAUACCGUGUGAAAAACUCCGGUGGUAUGAGAUGGACCCGCGUCUGAUUAGCUAGUUGGAGGUAACGGCCUACCAAGGCAACGAUCAGUAGCCGGCCUGAGAGGGUGAAACGGCCAC